GAUGCAGCAACGCCGCGUGUGCGAUGAAGGCCUUCGGGUCGUAAAGCACUUUUGUGAGAGAUGAGAAAGGACAGUAUCUCAGGAAUAAGUCUCGGCUAACUACGUGCCAGCAGCCGCGGUAAAACGUAGGAGGCGAGCGUUAUCCGGAUUCACUGGGCGUAAAGCGCGUGCAGGUGGUUCGGUAAGUUGGGCGUGAAAUCUCCCGGCUCAACUGGGAGAGGUCGUCCAAUACUACCGAACUUGAGAGCAGAAGAGGAAGAUGGAAUUCCCGGUGUAGUGGUGAAAUGCGUAGAUAUCGGGAGGAACACCAGUGGCGAAGGCGAUCUUCUGGUCUGUUUCUGACACUCAGACGCGACAGCUAGGGUAGUAAACGGGAUUAGAGACCCCGGUAAUCCUAGCCGUAAACGAUGUGAACUUGGCGUUGGUGGGUUAAACUCCAUCAGUGCCGAAGCAAACGCGAUAAGUUCACCGCCUGGGGACUACGGCCGCAAGGUUAAAACUCAAAGGAAUUGACG
rnacentral:rRNA from 1 species